UACGUAGGGGGCAAGCGUUGUCCGGAAUCAUUGGGCGUAAAGCGUCCGCAGGUGGCUGUGUAAGUCUGCUGUCAAAGAGCGAAGCUCAACUUCGUAAAGGCAGUGGAAACUACACGGCUAGAGUGCGUUCGGGGCAGAGGGAAUUCCUGGUGUAGCGGUGAAAUGCGUAGAGAUCAGGAAGAACACCGGUGGCGAAGGCGCUCUGCUAGGCCGCAACUGACACUGAGGGACGAAAGCUAGGGGAGCGAAUGGG
rnacentral:rRNA from 1 species